GAUGAAGAACGCAGCGAAAUGCGAUAAGUAAUGUGAAUUGCAGAAUUCAGUGAAUCAUCGAAUCUUUGAACGCACAUUGCGCCCGCCAGUAUUCUGGCGGGCAUGCCUGUUCGAGCGUCAUUUCAACCAUCAAGCCCUGCUUGCGUUGGGGUCCUGCGGCUGCCCGCAGGCCCUGAAAACCAGUGGCGGGCUCGCUAGUCACACCGAGCGCAUUAAUACAUCUCGCUUUGGGCGUGCGGCGGGUUCUUGCCGUUAAACACCCCCUUUUUACCAAGGUUGACCUCGGAUCAGGUAGGAAUACCCGCUGAACUUACGCAUAUCAAUAAGCGGAGGA
rnacentral:misc_RNA from 1 species